UGGAGUACACUGUGCUGGGCAUUGACCCCACUGCAGCCUGCAUUUUCCUUUUCAGCCCAGGCCAGACCCAGACUCCUGGGGUGAGGACAACUGGGAAGGCUUGGAGGCUGAAAGCAGGCAGGUGAAGGCAGAGCUAGCCCGAAAAAAGCGAGAGGAAAGGAGAAGAGAAAUGGAAGCCAAGCGGGCGGAGAAAAAGGCCACCAAGGGGCCCAUGAAGCUGGGAGCCCGGAAGCUGGACUGACAACCCUACCCCCAGACCCCUGGGCAUUUCCAACCACUGGAAAGCAGGCCCGGAGGAUGUAUUUAUUGUACAAACCAUGUCAGCCUGGUCAGCAGGUCAGGCACAUCUAGUGUACAUAAUCAGAGCCACAAUAAAUUCUAUUUCAC
rnacentral:lncRNA from 1 species